GAUGAGCGCUGGCGGCGUGCCUAAUACAUGCAAGUCGAGCGAACAGACGAGGAGCUUGCUCCUUCGACGUUAGCGGCGGACGGGUGAGUAACACGUAGGUAACCUACCUAUAAGACUGGGAUAACUUCGGGAAACCGGAGCUAAUACCGGAUAAUAUUUCGAACCGCAUGGUUCGAUAGUGAAAGAUGGCUUUGCUAUCACUUAUAGAUGGACCUGCGCCGUAUUAGCUAGUUGGUAAGGUAACGGCUUACCAAGGCAACGAUACGUAGCCGACCUGAGAGGGUGAUCGGCCACACUGGAACUGAGACACGGUCCAGACUCCUACGGGAGGCAGCAGUAGGGAAUCUUCCGCAAUGGGCGAAAGCCUGACGGAGCAACGCCGCGUGAGUGAUGAAGGUCUUCGGAUCGUAAAACUCUGUUAUUAGGGAAGAACAAACGUGUAAGUAACUGUGCACGUCUUGACGUUACCUAAUCAGAAAGCCACGGCUAACUACGUG
rnacentral:rRNA from 1 species